GAAACUAUAGUCAAUAUAAAUAUGAUAUAUAAUUUGCACUUAUAAGGAGUUAGAAACUAGUUUCG
rnacentral:tRNA from 1 species